GAGCCUGGAGGAGUAUCUAAAAUAAAACCCACACAUAUUAGCAAAGAAGUGUGGAAUCUGACUGACACCAUUCCAAAGAAAGCCUCCGGUUUGGACUAGCUAUGCCAUCAUCCGGUGCCAGCUAAACUCAUGGUAGCAGUCACUAAGCAGGACAAGAGGGAUCUCUUCUGGAACUACUUGAACCAUCAUGUGAUCAUCAGCAGCUUGGAAAGGUAUCACAGGGAUUGAAAUCAUGCUUACUUCAUAACAGUUAUGCUGGGCUGGACACGUGUUGAGGAUGGAUGACAGCAGAAUGCCAAAACAGUUUCUGUAUGGCAAACUGAAAAUGAGCAACUACAUACAAGGUGGACAGAAGCAAUGCUUCAAGGACACACUGAAGCAUAACUUAAAGCAGUGCAACUUUGCCAUUGACAGUUGGGAGUCAUCAGCACCAGACAGAUCACACUGAGACAAAGGAGAAACAGAGAACUACUAGAUGCCAGAUUCAAGCAACAGAGAGGGAUGUGAAGAACUAGAUUGCACUAGGAAGAAAGUAGAAGAUGCUUCCAGGUCUCUGCGAAAUGACACGAAUGAAGAAAAACCUACUUAGAGACCUGAAAAUAGCAGAAGUCAUUGGGAAGAAUAGUAUGAGAAGCAGGAUUCAUGGCCUCAACAGUGUGCCCUCUUCCUAUGAUGUGGUGGCAGCUCCAUGGAUACUAAAGAAAACAGCCUUCUCAUUUAAACAAGAGUUAUGUACACAGGUGUAAACCAGGAGCGACUUUGGUGAAGCUAGUAGUGGACAGCAGGCUUCUGGUCAUUGUAAUCUCAUGGAAUGGAUUUCCAUAACUGUGGGACAGACACCUAUGAAGUUCAAUAAAUGAAGGUGGGUUUAAUAAUAUUAAAUGUUGUUUAUGAUUU